CAGCCGCGGGAACACCGGCAGCUCUAGUGGUAGCAAUUUUAUUGGGCCUAAAGCGUCCGUAGCCGGUUUAAUAAGUCUCUGGUGAAAUCCUGCAGCUUAACUGUGGGAAUUGCUGGAGAUACUAUUAGACUUGAGACCGGGAGAGGUUAGAGGUACUCCCAGGGUAGAGGUGAAAUUCUGUAAUCCUGGGAGGACCGCCUGUUGCGAAGGCGUCUAACUGGAACGGUUCUGACGGUGAGGGACGAAAGUUAGGGGCGCGAACCGGAUUAGAUACCCGGGUAGUCCUAACUGUAAACGAUGCGGACUUGGUGUUGGGGUGGCUUUGAGCUGCUUCAGUGCCGAAGGGAAGCUGUUAAGUCCGCCGCCUGGGAAGUACGGUCGCAAGGCUGAAACUUAAAGGAAUUGGCGGGGGAGCACCACAACGCGUGGAGCCUGCGGUUUAAUUGGAUUCAACGCCGGACAUCUCACCAGAGGCGACAGCUGUAUGAUAGCCAGGUUGAUGACUUUGCUUGACUAGCUGAGGAGUGGUGCAUGG
rnacentral:rRNA from 1 species